rnacentral:rRNA from 1 species
CAGCCGCCACGGUAAUACGAAGGGGGCUAGCGUUGUUCGGAAUUACUGGGCGUAAAGCGCACGUAGGCGGAUAUUUAAGUCAGGGGUGAAAUCCCGCAGCUCAACUGCGGAACUGCCUUUGAUACUGGGUAUCUUGAGUAUGGAAGAGGUUAGUGGAAUUGCGAGUGUAGAGGUGAAAUUCGUAGAUAUUCGCAGGAACACCAGUGGCGAAGGCGGCUAACUGGUCCAUAACUGACGCUGAGGUGCGAAAGCGUGGGGAGCAAACAGGAUUAGAUACCCCAGUAGUCCCUGUCUCUUAUAC